AACAUGAACACAAGGACAGCACAAGGGUUAAAAGCCCACUGGGAACACUUUGAUAACAGAAACAUCACUGCCUUCAUCAUGAAGGAGAAGACGACAGAAAACAAAGACUCACCGUAAAGGAAGAAGAAAGUUGGAGCCUCCGUCUCCUCCUGCUCCGUCUGCUCUGACACGAGGAAAACUCUCAACUUCAUCAUUUCCUGAUCCAGGAACACCUGAACAGAGCUCCGCCCCCAUUUGUGUGUGUUUGUUCUUCUGACUUCAAGUUGAGAAACUUCAGGAUUUUGUGGGUGAAAACUAGAAGAUGGUAAAAUACCAGGACAGUCUGAGUCAAAUCAGAGGCUGAUGUGGGACGACCACAAUGACCAGAGUUUACUUCACCAAACUCAACCACCUUCUGCAAACUGCAGCUGAGGGAGAUAAAGUAAAGCUGAAGCUCUAUAGUCAUUUCUGAUCACAUUGUUGACUGAAAGCUCUGACCUCUGACCUUUUACUGCUGACAGAAGCAGAACCUCAACAUCAACAUUCAGACUGUAAAAAGUUGAUCCU